CUACGGGCUGCACCAGUGGGGAAUAUUGCACAAUGGGCGCAAGCCUGAUGCAGCAACGCCGCGUGAGGGGUGAAGGCCUUCGGGUUGUAAACCUCUUUUAGCAGGGAAGAAGCGAAAGUGACGGUACCUGCAGAAAAAGCACCGGCUAACUACGUGCCAGCAGCCGCGGUAAUACGUAGGGUGCAAGCGUUGUCCGGAAUUAUUGGGCGUAAAGAGCUCGUAGGCGGUUUGUCACGUCUGCUGUGAAAAUCCAAGGCUCAACCUUGGACUUGCAGUGGGUACGGGCAGGCUAGAGUGCGGUAGGGGAGAUGGGAAUUCCUGGUGUAGCGGUGGCAUGCGCAGAUAUCGGGAGGAACACCAAUGGCGAAGGCACAUCUCUGGGCCGUAACUGACGCUGAGGAGCGAAAGCGUGGGGAGCGAACAGGAUUAGAUACCCGCGUAGUC
rnacentral:rRNA from 1 species